CAAUCUCAACCCAACACUUUCCAUUGAGGGCAGAGUUGUUCUCCGAAUGAGUGACCAUUCAGAUUUCACUUCUGCCCUGGCUGUCCUGUUUGGGUCAUUCUGUUUUCAACAUUAAAUAUCCAGAACAGGCAGCCACAACUUUGGAAUUUAUCCAGAGAUUUUUUUGUCAGGAUAAAUCCAGAGCAGAGUAAGUGUGCUUCCAAGGUCCUGGUGAGCAGAAGGACUGGCAAGAUGGUCCAGCGGAAGAAUGAGUUCUUGAAUCCACAUGUGGCAUCAUUUAUCAGGGACUUCAUUCAGUAUGACUGGCAGAACAAUUGAUGCCAGCAAAGAAGACUCCAGCCCAGGAAGUGGCCAAGCAAUUUACAUACUGUUAAAUACUGUUUAUUAAUAGCUGUUGAAAUGUUUGCAGAACGCUUUGUAUCUAAUACAUUGACA